rnacentral:tRNA from 1 species
GCCUCGCUAGCUCAAUCGGUAGAGCGUGAGACUCUUAAGUGGAAUCUCAAGGUUGCGGGUUCGACCCCCGCGUGGGGCU